rnacentral:rRNA from 1 species
CGGGUGAGUAACACGUGGAUAACCUACCUAUAAGACUGGGAUAACUUCGGGAAACCGGAGCUAAUACCGGAUAAUAUUUUGAACCGCAUGGUUCAAAAGUGAAANACGGUCUUGCUGUCACUUAUAGAUGGAUCCGCGCUGCAUUAGCUAGUUGGUAAGGUAACGGCUUACCAAGGCAACGAUGCAUAGCCGACCUGAGAGGGUGAUCGGCCACACUGGAACUGAGACACGGUCCAGACUCCUACGGGAGGCAGCAGCC